GAUGAAGAACGUAGUGAAAUGCGAUACGUAAUGUGAAUUGCAGAAUUCAGUGAAUCAUCGAGUCUUUGAACGCACAUUGCGCCCCCUGGUAUUCCGGGGGGCAUGCCUGUCCGAGCGUCAUUGCUGCCCUCAAGCACGGCUUGUGUGUUGGGCCUCCGUCCUCCUCCCGGGGGACGGGCCCGAAAGGCAGCGGCGGCACUGCGUCCGGUCCUCGAGCGUAUGGGGCUUCGUCACCCGCUCUUGUAGGCCCGGCCGGCGCUUGCCGACACAUCAAUCUUUUUUCCAGGUUGACCUCGGAUCAGGUAGGGAUACCCGCUGAACUUAAGCAUAUCAAUAAGCGGAGGA
rnacentral:misc_RNA from 1 species